rnacentral:rRNA from 1 species
UACGAAGGGGGCUAGCGUUGCUCGGAAUCACUGGGCGUAAAGGGUGCGUAGGCGGGUCUUUAAGUCAGGGGUGAAAUCCUGGAGCUCAACUCCAGAACUGCCUUUGAUACUGAGGAUCUUGAGUUCGGGAGAGGUGAGUGGAACUGCGAGUGUAGAGGUGAAAUUCGUAGAUAUUCGCAAGAACACCAGUGGCGAAGGCGGCUCACUGGCCCGAUACUGACGCUGAGGAGCGAAAGUGUGGGGAGCGAACAGG